rnacentral:lncRNA from 1 species
GUCCAGACUAGAAAACUAUUCCGAAACCUAUCCAUUUAAAAGUUGGGUUCGAGUCGAAUCUAAGUCAGGUAUGGGUAUAAAAUAUCCGGACCCAUAUCCGAAACUUUAAUCGGUAAUUUUUUUUAUCCAUAUAUUAUCCAUUUUUUAUCGGGUUCGGUUCGGAUCCGGAUAGGGUCUGGAUCGGAUAUUGUAUAUCUGAUAUUUUGGACAGCUUUUUUUUUCCCCCUCUUUCUUUAUAGCUGGUUAUGGG